AGUGAACGCUGGCGGUAGGCCUAACACAUGCAAGUCGAACGGCAGCACAGUAAGAGCUUGCUCUUACGGGUGGCGAGUGGCGGACGGGUGAGGAAUACAUCGGAAUCUACUUUUUCGUGGGGGAUAACGUAGGGAAACUUACGCUAAUACCGCAUACGACCUACGGGUGAAAGCAGGGGAUCUUCGGACCUUGCGCGAUUGAAUGAGCCGAUGUCGGAUUAGCUAGUUGGCGGGGUAAAGGCCCACCAAGGCGACGAUCCGUAGCUGGUCUGAGAGGAUGGUCGGCCACAUUGGAAGUGAGACAGGGUCCAGACUCCUAAGGGAGGCAGCAGUGUGGAAUAUUGGACAGUGGGCGCAAGCCUGAUCCAGCGAGACCGAGUGGGUGAAAAAGGCGUUCGGGUUGUGAAGCCCUUUUGUUGGGAGAGAAAAGCAGCAGGUUAAUACCCCGCGGUACUGACGGUACCCGGAGAAUAAGCACCGGCUAACUUCGUG
rnacentral:rRNA from 1 species